rnacentral:rRNA from 1 species
UACGUAGGGUGCAAGCGUUGUCCGGAAUUAUUGGGCGUAAAGAGCUCGUAGGCGGUUUGUCGCGUCUGCUGUGAAAACUCGGGGCUUAACCCCGGGCCUGCAGUGGGUACGGGCAGACUAGAGUGCGGUAGGGGAGACUGGAAUUCCUGGUGUAGCGGUGAAAUGCGCAGAUAUCAGGAGGAACACCGGUGGCGAAGGCGGGUCUCUGGGCCGUAACUGACGCUGAGGAGCGAAAGCGUGGGGAGUGAACAGG